rnacentral:rRNA from 1 species
GCAAGUCGAGCGAUAUAGCGGCGAACGGGUGAGUAACACGUUGGAACAUGCCCCGAACUCAGGGAUAGCCAUCCGAAAGGGUGAUUAAUACCGGAUAGUCCCGAAAGGGUAAAGAUUUUUCGGUUCGGGAGUGGCCUGCGGCCUAUCAGCUUGUUGGUAAGGUAAAAGCUUACCAAGGCUAUGACGGGUAUCUGGUGUGAGAGCAUGACC